rnacentral:lncRNA from 1 species
AUGUUAAUUAUCACACACUUCAGAUGUUACAAAUGUGCAGAGCUGAAUGUGUUUCCAUGGAUUGCAGUAAAAUCACAACAGAAGUUCCAGUUUGUCACAGUGAUUCUGUUGCAGACGUCUGCAGGAAAGGCCUCUGAAUCCAGAGACGCUGAAAAUGCUUCUGCUCAAGAUGACAGAGAUACAGACACAAAGAAACCUGAAGCGGAGGAGAUUGCAUAUGCCAGCAUUACAUUUCACCAUCCAGCUAAUGAAGCCAAAUCUGCUGCAAGCCAAGACAUGGAUGUAUCUGUGAUUUACAGCGGCAUUAGAUGAUCCAGCCUAAUCUAUGUAGAUCCAGAUCAUGAAAAGAAAAUGUAAUCAUGUUUUGGGUUUUGCCUUGCUUAUUAAGCAUUUGCAGCUCCAUCAUGGUUAACAUUUGGAUGAUUUACAUCUCUUGUAAGCCAAAUAAACAAACAAGCACAGAGUGAAGUGAAUGUAGUAUGAGGCAUUUGUGAUCUCUCUCUCUCUCUCUCUCUCUCUCUCUCUCUCUCUCUCUCUCCAUAUCUAGACAUUUAAAGAAUUUGCUGUUUAUUUCUUUCUCGUUCAAGUCGCACCAUACAUAAUUUCGCAAAGUAAAAUACAUAGGCUUUUUACUUGUAUUUAAAUCAAGACCAGCACACUGCAGAAACAUGAACACACGUGUGCCAUGCUAAUCCAAGUGAGAGUCGUCACAUCUGCUCAGCUGUGGACAAAAAUCACUUUAACAGAAUGCAUUGCUAUAUCCCACGUGCUAAUAAAAAGGUACAAACACUUCAGUGAUUUCAGAGUCUUCCAUCAGGUGUCAGCUGUUUAAAACGGUGGCUGACAUUACAGAACUUAAAACUAUCUGAACAGGUUAGUGUGAUUGAUGAAUACUGUUUUUAGUUUCACAUACAGUAUUAGGAACUCUUAUCUCUUUCUCUUAACCUCAGGAUAGUCUUGGGGUUCAUUAAAGGAACAGUAACCCAACACAUUUGUCAAUUUAAAAUGAAACAACCUAGGAGCAUCGCAACCCUUCAUUUCUGUUUCGCAUGCAAACUCUACAUGCAAAAGGGAUAUUUAUUUAUACAAAUAAUGGCGUGAUCAUAUUUCCAAGUGAUGUGUUUUUGAACCUUGACCAGUACAUUUGGUUUUGUUUUUCUUCCAAGGAGUUUUUGCUAUAUACUGUUCAGAAAUGUUGUUGAUUGAAAUUGUCCGGACAAACCUGUGCCAUGCUUGUAAUGUAGAAUGUGUUUGGGUUUGAGGAUAUUGUAUUUAAUAUGUUUUAUAGAUUGCCAUAUACAUCCUCUCCCAGGGUUGUGUUGCACUGUAGGUUCUGGUAGAUUGGGUCUGAUUGGCUUUCAUUAUUAGACUUGUCACUGGACAUCUUCAUGGUGAUGUAGUGUCUGUCAUCAGGAGUGUUCUGAUAAACAGCAUUAGCCUAAAUCAAAGACAUAAAGCAUAAUUCUAUUGUUAAUAAUCUGUUGAAGUGGCUUAUAAGCAGAAGUUAACCCCACAUGAAAAGAACCUA